rnacentral:rRNA from 1 species
GUAGGUGGCAAGCGUUGUCCGGAAUUAUUGGGCGUAAAGCGCGCGCAGGCGGUUCUUUAAGUCUGAUGUGAAAGCCCACGGCUCAACCGUGGAGGGUCAUUGGAAACUGGAGAACUUGAGUACAGAAGAGGAAAGCGGAAUUCCACGUGUAGCGGUGAAAUGCGUAGAGAUGUGGAGGAACACCAGUGGCGAAGGCGGCUUUCUGGUCUGUAACUGACGCUGAGGCGCGAAAGCGUGGGGAGCAAACAGGGAUUAGAUACCCUGGUAGUCCACGCCGUAAACGAUGAGUGCUAAGGGUUAGGGGGUUUCCCGCCCCUUAGUGCUGCAGCUAACGCAUUAAGCACUCCGCCUGGGGAGUACGGCCGCAAGGCUG